CAGUCGCCGCGGUAAUACGUAGGUGGCAAGCGUUGUCUGGAAUUAUUGGGCGUAAAGGGCUCGCAGGCGGUUUCUUAAGUCUGAUGUGAAAGCCCCCGGCUCAACCGGGGAGGGUCAUUGGAAACUGGGAAACUUGAGUGCAGAAGAGGAGAGUGGAAUUCCACGUGUAGCGGUGAAAUGCGUAGAGAUGUGGAGGAACACCAGUGGCGAAGGCGACUCUCUGGUCUGUAACUGACGCUGAGGAGCGAAAGCGUGGGGAGCGAACAGGAUUAGAUACCCCCGUAGUCCCUGUCUCUUAUAC
rnacentral:rRNA from 1 species